UACGAUUGAUGAAACAACCGGACCGAUUGAAGAUUCAACAAGCGCGACGAUGAUCGAGAACAGAUGCGAACGAUAGAUCCGAAAGAGUAAACUACACGAAAGGAGAUCUCGAGAGAUACAGUGGCUCGCGAAAGUGUCUCAGCUCUUGUGGAAACUCUCUAUGAAUUAUAGACGCGUUAUGAAAGAUUCUGAAAUUUCCCUGACGCUCUAACAAAAUCAUGAUCGUUUGGUGAAGUUUCAAAGGAAUCUGAAAGUGAAUAUGAAAGUUGCUUCACAAAGAUCACCAAAAUAUCGUAUUUGAGAAGGUCAAUUUUAAUCGUUACAUUGAUAAACCACGGUAUUUAACGAGACUAUAUAUUUGCAAUAAAAGUAUCUUGCAGUUUCUAGGGACAUUUUCAGAUUGGUUUCGACGUAAUCGUGACACUGGUAUUUCGUUAUAAUGAUAACGAAAUUUCAAAAUGAUCCGCAUAAUACACGCAACAUAGGCGUAACACGUGAUACAUUCUAAUACACAAGCAAAUACUUGGACGUUGACGAGCCAUCGUCGGUAUACGAUCUUUCAAGGCCUAACUUUAAAGAAGAUGAACCGAAACGAUCUUAACGGCUUCGACGUGCACGUGCAGUGACUGUCCAGAUUACAACCUUACCGCUAUAUUUAAAUGUGAUCACUAUAUUUGUAUAUCUGUAUGUAUGUGUGCAUUUCCUCUCUUUUUAUACAAUUAUUUAUUUGUAUUAAGAAUUAUGUAUGUAAAAUAUACAUAUAUAGAUAGAUAGAUAUGAGGUUGUUAAUAGUAAAUAUCUGAUUCUUCUUAUUUCAGCUUUCUUCUCGCUUUCUUCUCUUAGUGUGUCUACCAAUCUCUCUCUUCCUCUAGUGGUUUAUAUACCGUGUCUAUUUUCGGUUGGAAUUCAACGCGAGAUUUUGCGGUAGGCACCGUAUUAUGUAUCGUUCCCAACAAAAGUUCGUCAGUAAUCAAGAACCGAUAUGUGCAAACGGACGCUGUCACCGUUUGUAAAAUGAUUAUGAUUUAAUUGUAAAUAUGAUAUAUUUAUCAUUAACAUAUUAAGCCGUUGGGUGUAGAAAUUAAAAAUGAGUCGUACGCAAUUAUUUGUACACAUUUAUUUUAUUAACAGCAAAAACAUUUGUAUAUACAAGCAUGUCCAACAAGUGUUAUUCUUAAUAAUAUAAUAAAUUCCAUUAAUGCUACUGCAAAUUAUGAUACAAUACAUACACUUGAGAUACGUAACUUGAGAUACGUAACUUGAGAUUCGUUAAAUUUUAUUAUUUUACUGCUUCUCUACU